CCGCUACCACGCGAGUGGAUGCCAAUCCCUAAAACCCCUCCUCAGUUCGGACUGGAGUCUGCAACCCGACUCCACGAAGCUGGAUUCGCUAGUAAUCGCGCAUCAGCCACGGCGCGGUGGAUACGUUCCCGGGCCUUGUACACACCGCCCGUCAAGCCAUGGGAGCCGGGGGUACCUGAAGUGCGUAACCGCGAGGAUCGCCCUAGGGUAAAACUGGUGACUGGGGCUAAGUCGUAACAAGGUACC
rnacentral:rRNA from 1 species